rnacentral:sRNA from 1 species
AGGGCUCUGGGUCAACCUCCCACCCGUGUCUAUUGUACCUUGUUGCUUCGGCGGGCCCGCCGUUUCGACGGCCGCCGGGGAGGCCUCGCGCCCCCGGGCCCGCGCCCGCCGAAGACCCCAACAUGAACGCUGUUCUGAAAGUAUGCAGUCUGAGUUGAUUAUCAUAAUCAGUUAAAACUUUCAACAACGGAUCUCUUGGUUCCGGCAUCGAUGAAGAACGCAGCGAAAUGCGAUAAGUAAUGUGAAUUGCAGAAUUCAGUGAAUCAUCGAGUCUUUGAACGCACAUUGCGCCCCCUGGUAUUCCCGGGGGGCAUGCCUGUCCGAGCGUCAUUUGGCUUGCCCCUCAAGCCACCGGGCUUUGUUGUGUUUGGGGCCGCCGUCCCCCGGGUUUCUCCCCCCGGGGGACGGGGCCCGAAAAGGGCAGCCGGCGGGCACCGCGUCCCGGGUCCUCGAGCGUAUGGGGCUUCGUCACCCGGCUUCUGUAUCCCGGCGGCGCCACGGACACCACUUUUAUUCCUAAAGUUGAACCUCGAAUCAGGUAGGAUACACCGUUAAAUUUAGCGUAUCAU